rnacentral:rRNA from 1 species
AGCGAACGCUGGCGGCAGGCCUAACACAUGCAAGUCGAACGAACUCUUCGGAGUUAGUGGCGGACGGGUGAGUAACACGUGGGAACGUGCCUUUAGGUUCGGAAUAACUCAGGGAAACUUGUGCUAAUACCGAAUGUGCCCUUCGGGGGAAAGAUUUAUCGCCUUUAGAGCGGCCCGCGUCUGAUUAGCUAGUUGGUGAGGUAAAGGCUCACCAAGGCGACGAUCAGUAGCUGGUCUGAGAGGAUGAUCAGCCACAUUGGGACUGAGACACGGCCCAAACUCCGACGGGAGGCAGCAGUGGGGAAUUUUGCGCAAUGGGCGAAAGCCUGACGCAGCCAUGCCGCGUGAAUGAUGAAGGUCUUAGGAUUGUAAAAUUCUUUCACCGGGGACGAUAAUGACGGUACCCGGAGAAGAAGCCCCGGCUAACUUCGUGCCAGCCGCCGCCGUAA